rnacentral:piRNA from 1 species
UAGAUGGCAAAACUGAGGUCCAGAGAAUGU